AACGAACGCUGGCGGCAGGCCUAACACAUGCAAGUCGAGCGCGCCCUUCGGGGUGAUCGGCGGACGGGGGAGUAACGGGUGGGAACGUUCCCUUGUCUACGGAAUAGCCUCGGGACACUGAUAGUAAUACCGUAUACGCCCUAUUGGGGAAAGAUUUAUCGGAAAAGGAUCUGCCCGAGUUGGAUUAGGUUGUUGGUUGGGUAAUGGCCUCCCAAGCCGACGAUCCCUAGCUUGUUUGAGAGGAUGAUCAGCGACACCGAGACGGAGAAACGGCCCGGAAUCCUACGGGAGGCAGCAGUGGGGAAUCGUAGACAAUGGCGGCAACGAUGAUCGAGCCAGGACGCGUGAGUGAUGAAGGCAGUAGGGUUGUAAAGUGCUAUCAGCUAGGAAGAUAAUGACGGUACCAGCAGAAGAAGCCACGGCUAACUACGUG
rnacentral:rRNA from 1 species